rnacentral:rRNA from 1 species
UUAAGUGAAUAAGGGCGCACGGUGGAUGCCUUGGCACUAGGAGCCGAUGAAGGACGGGACUAACACCGAUAUGCUUUGGGGAGCUGUAAGUAAGCUAUGAUCCAGAGAUUUCCGAAUGGGGGAACCCAAUAUCUUUUAUAGGAUAUUACUUUUCAGUGAAUACAUAGCUGAUUAGAGGUAGACGCAGAGAACUGAAACAUCUUAGUAUCUGCAGGAAGAGAAAGAAAAUUCGAUUCCCUGAGUAGCGGCGAGCGAAACGGGAAGAGCCCAAACCAACAAGCUUGCUUGUUGGGGUUGUAGGACUCCAAUAUGGUAGUCUGUUAGUAUAGUUGAAGGAUUUGGAAAAUUCCGCUAAAGAGGGUGAAAGCCCCGUAGACGAAAUGCUGACAACACCUAGGAGGAUCCUGAGUACGGCGGAACACGAGAAAUUCCGUCGGAAUCCGCGGGGACCAUCCCGCAAGGCUAAAUACUCCCUAGUGACCGAUAGUGAACCAGUACCGUGAGGGAAAGGUGAAAAGCACCCCGGAAGGGGAGUGAAAUAGAUCCUGAAACCGUGUGCCUACAACAAGUCAAAGCUCGUUAAUGAGUGAUGGCGUGCCUUUUGUAGAAUGAACCGGCGAGUUACGAUUGCAUGCGAGGUUAAGUCGAAGAGACGGAGCCGCAGCGAAAGCGAGUCUGAAUAGGGCGAAUGAGUAUGUAGUCGUAGACCCGAAACCAUGUGAUCUACCCAUGUCCAGGUUGAAGGUGCGGUAAAACGCACUGGAGGACCGAACCCACGUACGUUGAAAAGUGCGGGGAUGAGGUGUGGGUAGCGGAGAAAUUCCAAACGAACUUGGAGAUAGCUGGUUCUCUCCGAAAUAGCUUUAGGGCUAGCCUCGGAAUUGAGAAUGAUGGAGGUAGAGCACUGUUUGGACUAGGGGCCCAUCUCGGGUUACCGAAUUCAGAUAAACUCCGAAUGCCAUUCAUUUAUAUCCGGGAGUCAGACUGCGAGUGAUAAGAUCCGUAGUCGAAAGGGAAACAGCCCAGACCACCAGCUAAGGUCCCAAAAUAUAUGUUAAGUGGAAAAGGAUGUGGGGUUGCACAGACAACUAGGAUGUUGGCUUAGAAGCAGCCACCAUUUAAAGAGUGCGUAAUAGCUCACUAGUCGAGUGACCCUGCGCCGAAAAUGUACCGGGGCUAAACAUAUUACCGAAGCUGUGGACUACACCAUUAGGUGUAGUGGUAGGAGAGCGUUCUAAGGGCGUUGAAGGUCGAUCGUGAGGACGGCUGGAGCGCUUAGAAGUGAGAAUGCCGGUAUGAGUAGCGAAAGACAGGUGAGAAUCCUGUCCACCGUAUGACUAAGGUUUCCUGGGGAAGGCUCGUCCGCCCAGGGUUAGUCGGGACCUAAGCCGAGGCCGAUAGGCGUAGGCGAUGGACAACAGGUUGAUAUUCCUGUACCAGUUGUUUUUGUUUGAGCAAUGGAGGGACGCAGUAGGCUAAGGAAUGCAUGCGAUUGGAAGUGCAUGUCCAAGCAAUGAGUCUUGAGUAGAGUUAAAUGCUUUACUCUCUAAGGACAAGUUGUGACGGGGAGCGAAAUAAUAGUAGCGAAGUUCCUGAUGUCACACUGCCAAGAAAAGCUUCUAGUGAGAAAACAACUGCCCGUACCGUAAACCGACACAGGUAGUCGAGGAGAGUAUCCUAAGGUGAGCGAGCGAACUCUCGUUAAGGAACUCGGCAAAAUGACCCCGUAACUUCGGGAGAAGGGGUGCUGACUUCGGUCAGCCGCAGUGAAUAGGCCCAAGCGACUGUUUAUCAAAAACACAGGUCUCUGCAAAAUCGUAAGAUGAAGUAUAGGGGCUGACGCCUGCCCGGUGCUGGAAGGUUAAGAGGAUGGGUUAGCUUCGGCGAAGCUCAGAAUUGAAGCCCCAGUAAACGGCGGCCGUAACUAUAACGGUCCUAAGGUAGCGAAAUUCCUUGUCGGGUAAGUUCCGACCCGCACGAAAGGCGUAACGAUUUGGGCACUGUCUCAACGAGAGACUCGGUGAAAUUUUAGUACCUGUGAAGAUGCAGGUUACCCGCGACAGGACGGAAAGACCCCAUGGAGCUUUACUGUAGUUUGAUAUUGAGUGUUUGUACCACAUGUACAGGAUAGGUAGGAGCCGAUGAGACCGGAACGCUAGUUUCGGAGGAGGCGCUGGUGGGAUACUACCCUUGUGUUAUGAACCCUCUAACCCGCACCACUAAUCGUGGUGGGAGACAGUGUCAGAUGGGCAGUUUGACUGGGGCGGUCGCCUCCUAAAAGGUAACGGAGGCGCCCAAAGGUUCCCUCAGAAUGGUUGGAAAUCAUUCGAAGAGUGUAAAGGCAGAAGGGAGCUUGACUGCGAGACCUACAAGUCGAGCAGGGACGAAAGUCGGGCUUAGUGAUCCGGUGGUUCCGCAUGGAAGGGCCAUCGCUCAACGGAUAAAAGCUACCCUGGGGAUAACAGGCUUAUCUCCCCCAAGAGUCCACAUCGACGGGGAGGUUUGGCACCUCGAUGUCGGCUCGUCGCAUCCUGGGGCUGUAGUCGGUCCCAAGGGUUGGGCUGUUCGCCCAUUAAAGCGGCACGCGAGCUGGGUUCAGAACGUCGUGAGACAGUUCGGUCCCUAUCCGUCGCGGGCGUUGGAAAUUUGAGAGGAGCUGUCCUUAGUACGAGAGGACCGGGAUGGACUUACCGCUGGUGUACCAGUUGUUCUGCCAAGGGCAUUGCUGGGUAGCUAUGUAGGGAAGGGAUAAACGCUGAAAGCAUCUAAGUGUGAAGCCCACCUCAAGAUGAGAUUUCCCAUUUCUUUAAGAAAGUAAGACCCCUGAGAGAUGAUCAGGUAGAUAGGUUGGAAGUGGAAGGCUAGUGAUAGUUGGAGCGGACCAAUACUAAUCGGUCGAGGACUUAACCAA